rnacentral:rRNA from 1 species
ACGGGUGAGUAAUGUAUCGGAACAUGUCCGGAAGUGGGGGAUAACGUAGCGAAAGUUACGCUAAUACCGCAUAUGCCCUGAGGGGGAAAGGUGGGGAUCGCAAGACCUAUCGCUUUCGGAGUGGCCGAUAUCAGAUUAGCUAGUUGGUGAGGUAAAGGCUCACCAAGGCGACGAUCUGUAGCUGGUCUGAGAGGACGACCAGCCACACUGGGACUGAGACACGGCCCAGACUCCUACGGGAGGCAGCAGUGGGGAAUUUUGGACAAUGGGGGCAACCCUGAUCCAGCCAUGCCGCGUGAGUGAAGAAGGCCUUCGGGUUGUAAAGCUCUUUCAGAUGGAAAGAAAUCGUGCAGGCCAAUACCCUGCAUGGAUGACGGUACCGUCAGAAGAAGCACCGGCUAACUACGUGCCAGCAGCCGCGGUAAUACGUAGGGUGCGAGCGUUAAUCGGAAUUACUGGGCGUAAAGCGUGCGCAGGCGGUUUUGUAAGACAGGUGUGAAAUCCCCGGGCUUAACCUGGGAACUGCAUUUGUGACUGCAAGGCUAGAGUGUGGCAGAGGGGGGUAGAAUUCCACGUGUAGCAGUG